rnacentral:rRNA from 1 species
CCUUGAAAUACCACCCUUUAAUGUUUGAUGUUCUAACGUUGACCCGUGAUCCGGGUUGCGGACAGUGUCUGGUGGGUAGUUUGACUGGGGCGGUCUCCUCCUAAAGAGUAACGGAGGAGCACGAAGGUUGGCUAAUCCUGGUCGGACAUCAGGAGGUUAGUGCAAUGGCAUAAGCCAGCUUGACUGCGAGCGUGACGGCGCGAGCAGGUGCGAAAGCAGGUCAUAGUGAUCCGGUGGUUCUGAAUGGAAGGGCCAUCGCUCAACGGAUAAAAGGUACUCCGGGGAUAACAGGCUGAUACCGCCCAAGAGUUCAUAUCGACGGCGGUGUUUGGCACCUCGAUGUCGGCUCAUCACAUCCUGGGGCUGAAGUAGGUCCCAAGGGUAUGGCUGUUCGCCAUUUAAAGUGGUACGCGAGCUGGGUUUAGAACGUCGUGAGACAGUUCGGUCCCUAUCUGCCGUGGGCGCUGGAGAACUGAGGGGGGCUGCUCCUAGUACGAGAGGACCGGAGUGGACGCAUCACUGGUGUUCGGGUUGU